rnacentral:lncRNA from 1 species
CACCUGGUAUGUAGGCAUUGCUUUCCAGAAACAUUAGAGUUUUAAUAAAUAUUUCAGCAUAAAUUUAUCUAUAAAAUGUGUUACUACCCCUGAUUGUCUGCUCCAGGAAUACAAUAUGAAUAUGUACUUUACGUUGUGUUUUUCAUUUGGAAUGCCUCCCAAAGGCAUGCUUGAUCCUCAGCUGAUAGCACUAUUAGGAGAUGGUAGAAAUUUCAGGAGGUGGGGCCUGGUUAGAAGAAGAAGUUUACUGGCAGACAUGUCUUUGAAGAGUUCAUUUUGUCUCUAGCCUCUGUCUCUGUCUCUGUCUCCCCUCCCACUUUCUCUGUUUUAUCACAGGCCCAUAGCAAUGGAAGCAGCCACCAUGGACUAAAUUCUUGAAACUUUGAGCUAAAAUAAAUCUUUCCCAUUUAUAUUUUUUAUUUUUAUUUUUUUAUUUUUUUUUGCCGGGGAGGGGGGAGUAUUUUGUCAUCAUGAUGGAAAGCUGACUAACAUAUUUUGUAACCGAAUUAUAGGCUUUUCCAUAUAGCUUUAUAAAGGCGGUAUUUACCUGACAUAUACAUUAGUUUGCAUAUUCCAAAGGCAUGUACCCUUGGCAAGCACCAAGCUUGUUAAUAGUUGGUAUGGAAGGCAUAGUGAACUCUUAUUCUGAAUUGGAUCCAGUUUAUGAAGCAUUCUUUAAUUUGAAUAUUGACAGUCAUCCACAAAACAAAGAAUUCUCCAUCCACAAAGAUAUCAUCUACAGCAUAGACAAGACAAUAAAG